CCCUACCAUGUUUAAACACCAGUCCUCAUAUGAUCACCGAAGCUAAGCAACGUCGAGCCUGGUUUGUACCUAGAUAGGUGACCACUUGAGAAUAGCAGGU